UUUUUUCUCGAAAGUAAAAGAUCUAAUUUUAUUUGUUAGUUUUUGUGUCAAAAAAAUUAAUUAUAUGAAUUUAGGUGUGAAAUAUUUAUCGUUUUUACUUAUAUCUAGUAAUUUCAGAAAUAAAUUUAGUUUAGGCUAUAAAAGAAUUUCUUUAUUUUUAAGAUAUUUUUUAUAAAGUUUUAUGUUUUAGGGGAUGAGCUCUAAAAUUAAUUUAAAAGGAAUAAAAGAAUUUAAAUUUUUUGUAGGCUUAGAAUUGGCCAUAAGAUAGUGUUAUAAGAUAAAAAUUUAAAAUUACGAUUUAAUUUUUCUUUGAGGAUUAUGAAAUUAAAAAGUAAAUAGUGUAAUUUUUGAAAAUAUGAUAGUAUUAGUAGAUAAAAAAAAUUUGGAAGAAAAAUUGAAUUUUUCAUAUUAUAAAAUAAUAAUAUUUGUAGCAAAAGAACUCGGCAAAUAAGAUUUCCGAAUGUUUAACAAAAACAUUUCCUCUUGAAAAAGGGAGGUAAGACCUGCUCACUGAAAUUUAAAGAGCCGCAGUAUAUUGACUGUGCUAAGGUAGCAUAAUCAUUAGUCUUUUAAUUGGAGACUGGUAUGAAUGGUUAAACGAGAGAUCAGCUUUUUUUGUUAUAAAAAUUGAAUUUAAUUUUUUAGUGAAAAAGCUAAAAUAUUUCAGAAAGACGAGAAGACCCUAUAGAGUUUUAUAUUUUAAAAAAUUUUUUCUUAUUAGGUUUUUUGAGUAAAAGUUUUUGAUGAUAUUUUGUUGGGGCGACAUUAAGAUAAUAGAAACUCUUUAUUUUUUUAACUUUAUUAAAAGAAUUGUUUGAUCCUUUAAAAAAGAUCACAAGAAAAAAUUACCUUAGGGAUAACAGCGUAAUCUUUUUUGAGAGUUCUAAUCGACAAAAAGGUUUGCGACCUCGAUGUUGGACUAAAAUUUAGGCA
rnacentral:rRNA from 1 species